GAUGAACGCUGGCGGCGUGCCUAAUACAUGCAAGUCGAGCGGUAAGGCCUCUUCGGAGGUACACGAGCGGCGGACGGCUGAGUAACGCGUAGGAACGUACCCCAAAGUGAGGGAUAAGCACCAGAAAUGGUGUCUAAUACCGCAUGUGAUCUAAGGAUUAAAGCUUCGGCGCUUUGGGAACGGCCUGCGUUCGAUUAGCUAGUUGGUGAGGUAAAAGCUUACCAAGGCGACGAUCGAUAGCUGGUCUGAGAGGAUGAUCAGCCAGACUGGGACUGAGACACGGCCCAGACUCCUACGGGAGGCAGCAGUAGGGAAUUUUCCACAAUGGGCGAAAGCCUGAUGGAGCAACGCCGCGUGCAGGAUGAAUGCCUUCGGGUUGUAAACUGCUUUUAUAUGUGACGAUUAUGACGGUAGCAUAUGAAUAAGGAUCGGCUAACUCCGUGCCAGCCGCCGCAGUAA
rnacentral:rRNA from 1 species